GGUUAACGAAUUCGCCCUUCUUGGUCAUUUAGAGGAAGUAAAAGUGUAACAAGGUUUCCGUAGAAUAAGUCUCGGAGCAUAUGAUUCUUCCACAUGAAGCUUAUAGAAGCCUUUGCAGCCUGGCAACAGGUAGCCUUGCGACUUAAAUAAUAGGGCCUUAUGCAAGUCAGAGGGAGUAUCCUUCUGGCAACAAACCGAACUGACGGGGACACCUUAAAGCCUACUCCAUCAACCGACCCAGAAACCGGGUUGGGGCCCAUGUUAACAGCAUGGGGUAUGGUAAGAGAGAGCGGGAUGUUACAAUAGGUAAUCCGCAGCGAAGAUCCUAAGUGCAGCGCAACGGAUAACGUUCACAGACUAAGUGGUUGUGGGCACGGUAGAGACCGUGUUUAGAUAUAGUCGGGACCCUGGGGAGACCUAGGGAGUAAUAUCACUACUAUCCGUUCCGUAGGUGAACCUGCGGAAGGAUCAUUACAGAGUUCAUGCCUCACGGGUAGAUCUCCCACCCUUGAAUACUAUACCUUUGUUGCUUUGGGGGCCGCUUCGGCUACUGGCUCCAGCUAGUGAGUGCCCGCCAAAGGAUCUAAAACUCUGAAUAUUUGUGUCGUCUGAGUACUAUGUAAUAGUUAAAACUUCAACAACGGAUCUCUUGGUUCUGGCAUCGAUGAAGAACGCAGCGAAAGCGAUAAGUAAUGUGAAUUGCAGAAUUCAGUGAAUCAUCGAAUCUUUGACGCACAUUGCGCCCCUUGGUAUUCCGAGGGGCAUGCCCGUUCGAGCGUCUUAUAACCCCUCAAGCCCAGCUUGGUGUUGGGGCCUGCUGUUACCGGCACCCUUAAAAUCAGUGGCGGUGCCAUCUGGCUCUAAGCGUAGUAAUACUUUCGCUACAGGGUCCUGGUGGAUGCUUGCCAUCAACCCCUAAAUUUCUAUGUUGACCUCGGAUCGGGUAGGGAUACCCGCUGAACUUAAGCAUAUCAAUAGCGGAGGAA
rnacentral:rRNA from 1 species